rnacentral:rRNA from 1 species
AGAGUUUGAUCAUGGCUCAGAUUGAACGCUGGCGGCAGGCCUAACACAUGCAAGUCGAACGGUAACAGGAAGCAGCUUGCUGCUUUGCUGACGAGUGGCGGACGGGUGAGUAAUGUCUGGGAAACUGCCUGAUGGAGGGGGAUAACUACUGGAAACGGUGGCUAAUACCGCAUAACGUCGCAAGACCAAAGAGGGGGACCUUCGGGCCUCUUGCCAUCAGAUGUGCCCAGAUGGGAUUAGCUAGUUGGUGAGGUAACGGCUCACCAAGGCGACGAUCCCUAGCUGGUCUGAGAGGAUGACCAGCCACACUGGAACUGAGACACGGUCCAGACUCCUACGGGAGGCAGCAGUGGGGAAUAUUGCACAAUGGGCGCAAGCCUGAUGCAGCCAUGCCGCGUGUAUGAAGAAGGCCUUCGGGUUGUAAAGUACUUUCAGCGGGGAGGAAGGUGUUGUGGUUAAUAACCGCAGCAAUUGACGUUACCCGCAGAAGAAGCACCGGCUAACUCCGUGCCAGCAGCCGCGGUAAUACGGAGGGUGCAAGCGUUAAUCGGAAUUACUGGGCGUAAAGCGCACGCAGGCGGUCUGUCAAGUCGGAUGUGAAAUCCCCGGGCUCAACCUGGGAACUGCAUUCGAAACUGGCAGGCUUGAGUCUUGUAGAGGGGGGUAGAAUUCCAGGUGUAGCGGUGAAAUGCGUAGAGAUCUGGAGGAAUACCGGUGGCGAAGGCGGCCCCCUGGACAAAGACUGACGCUCAGGUGCGAAAGCGUGGGGAGCAAACAGGAUUAGAUACCCUGGUAGUCCACGCCGUAAACGAUGUCUACUUGGAGGUUGUGCCCUUGAGGCGUGGCUUCCGGAGCUAACGCGUUAAGUAGACCGCCUGGGGAGUACGGCCGCAAGGUUAAAACUCAAAUGAAUUGACGGGGGCCCGCACAAGCGGUGGAGCAUGUGGUUUAAUUCGAUGCAACGCGAAGAACCUUACCUGGUCUUGACAUCCACGGAAGUUUUCAGAGAUGGAGUGGUGCCUUCGGGAACCGUGAGACAGGUGCUGCAUGGCUGUCGUCAGCUCGUGUUGUGAAAUGUUGGGUUAAGUCCCGCAACGAGCGCAACCCUUAUCCUUUGUUGCCAGCGGUCCGGCCGGGAACUCAAAGGAGACUGCCAGUGAUAAACUGGAGGAAGGUGGGGAUGACGUCAAGUCAUCAUGGCCCUUACGACCAGGGCUACACACGUGCUACAAUGGCGCAUACAAAGAGAAGCGACCUCGCGAGAGCAAGCGGACCUCAUAAAGUGCGUCGUAGUCCGGAUUGGAGUCUGCAACUCGACUCCAUGAAGUCGGAAUCGCUAGUAAUCGUGGAUCAGAAUGCCACGGUGAAUACGUUCCCGGGCCUUGUACACACCGCCCGUCACACCAUGGGAGUGGGUUGCAAAAGAAGUAGGUAGCUUAACCUUCGGGAGGGCGCUUACCACUUUGUGAUUCAUGACUGGGGUGAAGUCGUAACAAGGUAACCGUAGGGGAACCUGCGGUUG